GAUGAAGAACGUAGCGAAAUGCGAUACUUGGUGUGAAUUGCAGAAUCCCGUGAACCAUCGAGUCUUUGAACGCAAGUUGCGCCCGAAGCCAUUAGGCCGAGGGCACGCCUGCCUGGGUGUCACACACCGUUACCCUCGCGCCAACGUCCAUCGUUGGCCGCGGCGCGGGGCGUGCGCUGACCUCCCGCGAGCGGGGUCUCGUGGUUGGUUGAAAAUCGAGUUCGCGGUCGAGGGUGCCGUGAUGAAAUGGUGGAUGGGCGACGCCCGAGGCCAAUCACGCGCGACUCUGUCCGGCUNNNNNNCCUGGACCCCUUCGGCGUCUCCGGACGCUCUUUGGCGAGACCUCAGGUCAGGCGGGGCUACCCGCUGAGUUUAAGCAUAUCAAUAAGCGGAGGA
rnacentral:misc_RNA from 1 species